rnacentral:ncRNA from 1 species
UUGGUCCUGGCCUUUCUGUUAGUUCUAGGUAAAACUACACAUGCAAGUAUCCGCGCCCCAGUGAGAAUGCCCUCUAAAUCACACCUGAUUAAAAGGAGCGGGCAUCAAGCACACUACAAAGUAGCUCAUAACGCCUUGCUUAACCACACCCCCACGGGAAACAGCAGUGAUAAAAAUUAAGCCAUGAACGAAAGUUCGACUAAGUUAUACCUAUACCCAGGGUUGGUAAAUUUCGUGCCAGCCACCGCGGUCACACGAUUAACCCAAAUUAACAGAGACACGGCGUAAAGCGUGUUUAAGAGUACAAAAAAUAAAGUUAAAUUCUAGCUAAGCUGUAAAAAGCCAUAGCUAAAAUAAAAAUAAACUACGAAAGUGACUUUACAGAUUCUGAACACACGAUAGCUAAGGCCCAAACUGGGAUUAGAUACCCCACUAUGCUUAGCCCUAAACUUAGACAAUCAACACAACAACAUUGUUCGCCAGAGUACUACUAGCAACAGCUUAAAACUCAAAGGACUUGGCGGUGCUUUAUACCCCUCUAGAGGAGCCUGUCCUAUAAUCGAUAAACCCCGAUAAACCUCACCAGCCCUUGCCAAUUCAGCCUAUAUACCGCCAUCCUCAGCAAACCCUAAAAAGGAACUGUAGUAAGCACAAAUAUAAGACAUAAAAACGUUAGGUCAAGGUGUAGCCUAUGGACUGGGAAGAGAUGGGCUACAUUUUCUUAUCAAAGAACACUUAAAAUCACAUACGGAAGCCCCCAUGAAACGGGGGGGCAGAAGGUGGAUUUAGUAGUAAACCAAGAGCAAAGAGCCUGGUUGAAUUAGGCCAUGAAGCACGCACACACCGCCCGUCACCCUCCUCAAAUAUAAAGGCACCACCCAAACCUAUUACCACGUGCCUGCAAUUAUGAGAGGAGAUAAGUCGUAACAAGGUAAGCGUACUGGAAAGUGCGCUUGGAUAUAUACCAAAGUGUAGCUUAAACUAAAGCACCUGGCUUACACCCAGGAGACUUCACAUACAAUGAACACUUUUGAACAAGUAC